rnacentral:tRNA from 1 species
GGUUGUGGCUCAGUGGUAGAGUAUGCGCCUAGCAUGCGUGAGGCCCUGGGUUCGAGCCUCAGCACCA